rnacentral:rRNA from 1 species
GACGAACGCUGGCGGCGUGCCUAAUACAUGCAAGUCGAACGGAAAGGCCCUGCUCUUGCGGGGUGCACGAGUGGCGAACGGGUGAGUAACACGUGAGUAUCCUGUCCCUGUCUUUGUGAUAACAUUAGGAGACACCGGCUAUUAUCCCAUAGGAUCUCUUGCUGCACGGUGGUGGUUGGAAAGAUUCGGCGGUGGGGGCUGGUUUCGCUGCUUAUCAGCUGGUUUGUGUGGUAGUGGCUUACCAAGGCUUUGACGGGUAGCCGGCAUGAGAGGGUGGCCGGGCACAUUGGGACUGAGGUAGGGAGCAGAAGGCAACGGGAGGCAACGGUGGAGAGUAUUGCGCAAUGGGCGGGAGCGUGAUGCAGAGACCCCGCGUGCGGAAUGACGGCUUUUGGGUGAUAAACAGCUUUCGACUGUAACGAAGCGUGAGUGACGGUACUGAGUAAAGAAGCACCGGCUAACUACGUG